GCGUCGGUGGUGCAACGGAUUAGCACAUGCUCCCAAAAGGAGUAAAAUCUGGGUUCAAAUUCCGGCUGACGCA